CAAGGUUCAACACCCAGAACUGCCAAAAAUGUGUUUAAAUGUGUACAUGUGCUUUUAAGAUUUAUUGAGAAAUAAUCCACCUACUACUAUACAGCCCACUCAUAGUAUGUAAUUCAGUACAUACAUUAAAAGUACAUUUACACCUCAAUAAAAGUAGAGAAAAAUUUUAAGUGCAUAAUUCAAUGAUCUAAUACAUAAUUUUGUACAUCUACCACAAUCAAUUUUAGAAAGAUUUCAUUACUUUGAGCAGAAAACUUAUGGCUCUCAGGAAUUAUUGUCAUGACAGGGUCUCCUUACGCUCAGGUUAGCUUAGAAGUGGCUAGGCUUCCAGUGCAGUGACGCACAAUAUAGGGUGUGGUGGUGCUGGCCUAUAACCCCAGCAUUAGGGUUGGAGGGGUAGAAGGAUCCUUGUUAAAAAAGUUCUUGACUAUACAGAUAGGCUCAGUAUCAGCCUAAAAUACAUAAGAUACUGCAUUAAAUAAAAUCGAACCAAUUCCUGCUACUCACACUGCUGUCCAUUUCCCUGUAGUCUCAGGGGGAUAUCUACUCUAGCUCCUGCUUAUCGUCCAUACAGCAGUCAUGUUAUUUAAGACAACAGAUAUAUGCACAAAAUGGUUUUUAACCAUUUAAAAUGGUAUUGAGAAUAAACAUAACCUUAUCAUGAUAGUGUAUAUGACUUUACUAUCACAUCAGUUCCCAACCACCUUCAGCUUUUUUUUAUAGGGACUUGACUGUGCAGCCAUGGCUGGCCUCCUAGCACCACUGUGCCAUCCAAUGCCACAGAUUCUGACCUUAUACUGGGGCUACCCCUUCUAGUUACAAACUCCAGUUCUCUUUCAUGCUCCUUCAGAAACAAUGAAUGCAGUGCUGUUUACAAAGAGAAGGGUUUUCUUUUGGCAUAUGGUCUUUGGUAGAUAAUGAUAGGAGCAACUAAGUGCCAAGUGAAGAAAGGCAGCUGUUUGGCAACAAGUAUUGAUAAAGGAACAUGAUCUGGAAAUAUCCCUACCACAAGUCCUGAUCAUCACCUUGGCCCAAAAAGCUUAGACACUGUAUGGUCUGUGCUACAAUUUGAGGCAAGACAAUCAACCAGGUUAUUCUUACCACACGUUUGUGUUUGCGAAAACUUAAAACUCUGGUGUCCAGGUAAAAGUGUAAGCCUUGGGUGGAUGUAGCAAUUCCAGCUCUAGAGGUAGAGGCAGGAAUAUUAGAUGUUGCAAGAUCAUUAGCUACAGUGAGCUCAAGACCUUUUUGUUUUUUGGAGACAGGGUUUCUCUGUGGCUUUGGAGGCUGUCCUGGAACUAGCUCUUGUGGACCAAGAUGGCCUUUAACUCAGAGAUCCACCAGCGUCUGCCUCCCGAGUGCUGAGCUCAAUAUCAUCUUAUUUACGAUCCUGCAUAAACAAACAAACAAAAAAACCUAACUGUGUGGGUGGGGGUGCUCAUUAAGAGCUUGCAGAGGACCUGGGUUUGAUUCCAAAUCCAGUUCCAGGGGAC
rnacentral:lncRNA from 1 species